UUAAUUGAAGAGUUUGAUCAUGGCUCAGAUUGAACGCUGGCGGCAGGCUUAACACAUGCAAGUCGAGCGGUAGCACGGGGGAGCUUGCUCCCUGGGUGACGAGCGGCGGACGGGUGAGUAAUGUCUGGGAAACUGCCUGAUGGAGGGGGAUAACUACUGGAAACGGUAGCUAAUACCGCAUAACGUCGCAAGACCAAAGAGGGGGACCUUCGGGCCUCUUGCCAUCAGAUGUGCCCAGAUGGGAUUAGCUAGUAGGUGGGGUAAUGGCUCACCUAGGCGACGAUCCCUAGCUGGUCUGAGAGGAUGACCAGCCACACUGGAACUGAGACACGGUCCAGACUCCUACGGGAGGCAGCAGUGGGGAAUAUUGCACAAUGGGCGCAAGCCUGAUGCAGCCAUGCCGCGUGUGUGAAGAAGGCCUUCGGGUUGUAAAGCACUUUCAGCGAGGAGGAAGGUGGUGAGCUUAAUACG
rnacentral:rRNA from 1 species